rnacentral:rRNA from 1 species
GACUACUGGGGUAUCUAAGCCCGUUUGCUACCCUAGCUUUCGCGUCUGAGUGUCAGGAGUGGUCCAGGAGGCCGCUUUCGCCACUGGUGUUCCUCCGGAUAUCUGCGCAUUCCACCGCUACACCCGGAAUUCCACCUCCCUCUACCAUCCUCUAGUUCGGCAGUUUAGAACGGCCUCUCCCAGUUGAGCCAGGAGCUUUCACGCCCUACUUACCAAACCACCUACACGCGCUUUACGCCCAGUAAAUCCGGAUAACGUUCGCCUCCUACGUGUUACCGCGGCUGCUGGCACGUAGUUAGCCGAGACUUAUUCUGAGAGUACCGUCCUUCCUCAUCCUCUCAAAAAGUGCUUUACAACCCGAAGGCCUUCUUCGCACACGCGGCGUUGCUAGUUCAGGCUUUCGCCCAUUACUAAUAUUCCCCACUGCUGCCCCCCGUAGG